UGGGAUGUCGUCCAAUGGUAGGACAUACGGCUCUGGACCGUAUAAUCGGGGUUCGAAUCCCUGCAUCCCAGCCA
rnacentral:tRNA from 1 species